rnacentral:rRNA from 1 species
AAGUAACCUACCUUUAGAUUUGGAAUAACCCCGAGAAAUCGGGGCUAAUACCGAAUGAUGCAGCGGCACCACAUGGUGAUGUUGUUAAAGUCUAUAUGACGUCUAAAGAUGGGCUUGCGUCUGAUUAGCUAGUUGGUGACGUAACGGCCCACCAAGGCUACGAUCAGUAGCUGGUCUGAGAGGAUGAUCAGCCACACUGGAACUGAGACACGGUCCAG